UGUCGCUGCUGUCGGGGGCGCUGGGCCCCGAGGCCGGGGGGGCCGUGGGGGUCUGCGGCUUCCUGAGCGCCGCCUUCACCUGCGCGGCCGCGGCGCUGGGCGGGGCCGAGCUGCUGCUGGUGUACCUGAUCCCCGGCUGGGCGGUGCUUCCGGGGCGUGGCCGCUGGGGCCGCCUCAACAACGGGCGUGGCUAUGGGGCGGGGCUUCUGGCGCUGCUGGGGGCGGGGUCUCUGGCCCCGCCCCGCGUGCGCGCUCUGGCCGCGCCCCUGGGCCCCGCGGGGCUGCUGCUGGCGCUGCUGGCGCUGCAGGCGGGGUCCCUGCGCCACGCCCUGCUCCGCGACCCCGCCCACGCGCUGUGCCUUCUCCCCCGGCCCGGGGACCCCCUCCUGCCCUGCGCCCCCCCCGCGCCCCCCAACGCCUCCCGCGGUCCUCCCGGCCAGCAGGGGGCGCUGCCCG